UACUUCGGAUUGGACAUGUAGCUCCCCGCGGUUCUGCUCGCUGCCAGAGGAAACUCUCUCUGAAGGUGCUUUAGCGUCGAAAGUCCUCCACUUUGUUCCGCCUUGACAUCUGCCACAGUGGCUGGCAUGUUGUCCAUUAAAGCUCACUCGCUGGCCUAAGAUCGACUUCGCCCCUGCGCGCGCACAUCUUGUUGGAGGAAGUUCUGCAAAGCGCUUCGCCGGAUCAAACCUCGCUGGCGAGGCUCAGGCCACCUGUAUUCAGCGAGCUCUGCCUCUUGUUCCUUGCUAGCGUUCGCCUCACUUGAUCAGUGCUCGCUAGAAAAGCGUUCGCGAAGUGUUCCUCGCUAGAACUCGCUUCGCGGCCACUCGCUCGUGGUCAUCACUGCUUUUGCUUGCGGGGUCUUGGCUUCGCGGCCGCGAGCGAAAGCGAGCGGUCACUUGCUUAUCGGUCGCUUGCUCAUAGUUUCGCUCGCUGCCAUUUCUUUCGCGGCCACGCGCUCUUCGCGGUCGCUUGCUUUUGCGCCG
rnacentral:lncRNA from 1 species